AGAGAUGUGUGAUGACGCAUAUCAAUAAGCGGAGGAAAAGAAACUAACUAGGAUUCCCUCAGUAACGGCGAGUGAAGCGGGAAGAGCUCAAAUUUGGAAAUCUUCAAGGUUCUACCUUGACGAAUUGUAGUUUAUAGAAGUGUUUUCUGUUAGCGGAGUGGCAAAAGUUCUUUGGAAUAGGACAUCAUAGAGGGUGAGAAUCCCGUAUUUGGUCAUUCCAUUCUAGCGUUGUGAUACACUUUCAAAGAGUCGGAUUGUUUGGGAAUGCAGUCCCAAAAUGGGUGGUAAAUUUCAUCUAAAGCUAAAUACUGGCGAGAGACCGAUAGCGAACAAGUACCGUGAGGGAAAGAUGAAAAGAACUUUGAAAAGAGAGUUAAUCAGUACGUGAAAUUGUCAAAAGGGAAGCGUUUGACACCAGUGUUGUUUUGGAGAAAUCAAUUGCGUGAACUGUUUUGUUGUGAGGAGUUAUGACCUUAUCAGGCUGCUCCUUACUCUUAUGAACCUUUUCACCAUGCACUUUCUCGGUUAACAAGUCAACAUCAAUUUCUUUUGUUGUAAAAGAGUCAUGCGGAAGGUGGCUUUCUUUUCGGAGAAAGUGUUUAUAGCCGUUGAUACUCUAGCAAUCGGAGAGAUUGAGGUCUGCAGCGUAGAUCCUUCGGGGUUAGAUACAUUUGUGCUAAGUUAUAGCCUUUAUAGACAACUUGUUGACUAUAGUUCAGUCAUGUAGCUUACUCGCCUUCUGCUAUUUUACCUACGCUUAGGAUGUUGACGCAUGAGAUAUACGC
rnacentral:rRNA from 1 species